rnacentral:rRNA from 1 species
GUGACCUCAAAUCAGGAAGGACUACCCGCUGAACUUAAGCAUAUCAAUAAGCGGAGGAAAAGAAACUAACAAGGAUUCCCAUAGUAACUGCGAGUGAAGCGGGAAAAGCUCAAAUUUAAAAUCUGGCAGCCUUUGGUU